rnacentral:rRNA from 1 species
UACGAAGGGGGCGAGCGUUGUUCGGAAUUACUGGGCGUAAAGGGCGCGUAGGCGGCGAUCCUAGUCAGAUGUGAAAGUCCUGGGCUUAACCUGGGGACUGCAUUUGAUACUGGAUUGCUUGAAUUCGGGAGAGGAUAGCGGAAUUCCCAGUGUAGAGGUGAAAUUCGUAGAUAUUGGGAAGAACACCGGUGGCGAAGGCGGCUAUCUGGACCGACAUUGACGCUGAGGCGCGAAAAGCGUGGGGAGCAAACAGG